rnacentral:rRNA from 1 species
GACGGAGGGUGCUAGCGUUGUUCGGAAUUACUGGGCGGAAAGGGCGCGUAGGCGGCCUGGUCAGUCGGAUGUGAAAGCCCGGGGCUCAACCCCGGAACGGCAUCCGAGACGGCCAGGCUGGAGACCGGGAGAGGAGAGUGGAAUAGCCAGUGUAGAGGUGAAAUUCGUAGAUAUUGGCUGGAACACCGGUGGCGAAGGCGGGUCUCUGGGCCGAUACUGACGCUGAGGAGCGAAAGCGUGGGGAGCGAUCCGG